rnacentral:lncRNA from 1 species
AGGAGCUCGAGCGGGAGGCAAGCGAGAGGCUCUCUUGCUCCUCCCAAAGCAGGGGGCGGCUCCACUGUGCUUCUGAUGACCCGGCCGCCGCCGCCGCCCUGCAACCGCUCCCCGGGACCCGUCAACGCUGACACUGAUGACCCGCGGUGGGGGCGCUGGGCGCGGGGUGCGCAGGCCACUGGCCGCGGGCUCUCGGGCCCACUCCUGCCGCCGGCUUCCGCUGCUUCCGCGAUUGUCUGGCCUUCGAGGAAAUAAAGAUGACCGUAGCCAAGCUGCCCUGCUCUGCACAAAGGACCCUGGGCGCCCCAUCCUUAACUCCCCUGCCUUAUGCUUGAGAUUAGCAUAUCCACCCAGCAACUCCUCUGCUCCAGACUUAACUUGACCACUGCAGUCCACACCGACUCUCCUAUCCACCAGAACUGUGCACUUAAAAUCUGCUGCACACAAUCCCAUACUUGCUUGAGUCUGGCUUUGUUCUCCAAUAGUUUCAAAUGCCUGUUUGACUCCCCCCGCCACCCCCACAGAGAUAAGGUCAUCACAAGCAGUAACUACUGCUUUGCUUGUUUUGAUUCCCACAGAGCCGAGCAUAGAUUGAUGUGGCAUAAGUGCUCAAUAAAUGCCCAUGGACUUGGCUAAUGGAUGGACUUGCAGGGGACACUGCCCCAUCAGGAGAGAAAGGUAGCCUUACUCUCAUCUGCCCCACCAAGAGGAACCUAAGGUCCUAUUUCCUGGGGGUGUCUCAAAAAUCGGCAGAGUCAUUCUCCCCCACCAUCCCUCCUUGCCUCCACUCCCCUCGGCCUUCUGGAUCCCCGUGGGUUUGGAGAGGCCGAUGCUUGUGGCUCUUACCAACAUCAAUUUGCAGUCUCCAGGAUGCAACUUCACCCUAUGCUGCGUUCAUAAAUUAAUCUCC